rnacentral:rRNA from 1 species
UACGUAGGGGGCAAGCGUUGUCCGGAAUAACUGGGCGUAAAGGGAGCGUAGGUGGCGAUUUAAGUGAAAUGUGAAAGACCGGGGCUCAACUCCGGAACUGCAUUUCAUACUGGAUUGCUUGAGUGCAGGAGGGGUAAGCGGAAUUCCUAGUGUAGCGGUAAAAUGCGUAGAUAUUAGGAAGAACACCAGAGGCGAAAGCGGCUUACUGGACUGUAACUGACACUGAGGCUCGAAAGCGUGGGGAGCAAAC